rnacentral:rRNA from 1 species
GACAGAGGGUGCAAACGUUGUUCGGAAUUACUGGGCGUAAAGCGCGUGUAGGCGGCCAUGCAAGUCGGAUGUGAAAGCCCUCGGCUCAACCGGGGAAGUGCACUCGAAACUGCAAGGCUAGAGUCUCGGAGAGGAUCGUGGAAUUCUCGGUGUAGAGGUGAAAUUCGUAGAUAUCGGGAGGAACACCAAUUGCGAAGGCAGCUCGCUGGGACGUAACUGACGCUGAGACGCGAAAGCGUGGGGAGCAAACAGG